rnacentral:lncRNA from 1 species
UUAUNAUAAAAUAUGGCUUAUAGUUUAUUCAAAUUAUUAUGCUUGCAUUUUAACAUAGAAUAAAUGUCAUUAAUUUGAUAAAGUGUUGAUAAAUUAAAAUUAAUACAGUGCGUUAAUUUUUCGAAAUUAUAUAAUGGCAUAAUUAUCAUCGAUAUUUGUGUUUAUUAUAAGCAUUUGUAUGAUUAACAAUGCGAAAGAUUCAGGAUACCUUCGGGA